AAACGUACGAGCACGACGGAUAUAUUCGACCGUAAAUUUCUCUCCGUGUGGCUUCUUUCCUUUUAAUUCACCUUUCUUAUUUAUGAAGACUGGAAUAAUAGCCAUAUGAGAAGAUACGGAGUGAAUACGAGGUUAUUAGAGAUUCCUGUUUCCUCACUCGAAUAUUACUACGUAUAUAGAUUUCUGAAAUUUAGAAGCGAUAAGUAAGAAUUUUUAAUUGUCUGGAAAAUUUCUUCGGCGCUAUACGAGUGUAAGCUGACUCACGACUAUAGCUCAAGGGCAAGCACAGGGAAACGGGCGAUUAUGCCUUCUACGCGGAGGAGAAUAA